UACGAAGGGGGCUAGCGUUGCUCGGAUUGACUGGGCGUAAAGGGCGCGUAGGCGGUUCGUACAGUCAGACGUGAAAUUCCUGGGCUCAACCUGGGGCUGCGUUUGAUACGUGCGGACUUGAGUGCGGAAGAGGGUCGUGGAAUUCCCAGUGUAGAGGUGAAAUUCGUAGAUAUUGGGAAGAACACCGGUGGCGAAGGCGGCGACCUGGUCCGAUACUGACGCUGAGGUGCGAAAGCGUGGGGAGCAAACAGG
rnacentral:rRNA from 1 species